GGGGUUGUCUCUCAGAGGUAGAGUUCUUGUCUAGCACACAUGAGGCCCUGGGUUCAAUCCUCAGCACCACA
rnacentral:tRNA from 1 species